rnacentral:rRNA from 1 species
UACAGAGGCCUCGAGCGUUAGGCGGAAUCACUGGGCUUAAAGCGUGUGUAGGCGGACUUCUAAGUACCUUGUGAAAUCCCACGGCUCACCCGUGGAACUGCUUGGUAUACUGGUUGUCUUGAGCCUUCUAGGGGCGAGUGGAACAAAUGGUGGAGCGGUGAAAUGCGUAGAUAUCGGGAGGAACACCAGUGGCGAAGGCGAUCACCUGGGGUUGUUCUGACGCUGAGGAGCGAAAGCUAGGGGAGCAAACGGG